rnacentral:rRNA from 1 species
AGUUGGUGGAGUGAUUUGUCUGGUUAAUUCCGUUAACGAACGAGACCUCCGCCUACUAAAUAGUGACAGUUUUGCUCGCAAAGCUGGUUUUAUCUUCUUAGAGGGACACUCGGUUUUUAGCCGAGGGAAGUUGGAGGCAAUAACAGGUCU